rnacentral:rRNA from 1 species
UACGUAGGGUGCAAGCGUUGUCCGGAAUUAUUGGGCGUAAAGAGCUCGUAGGCGGUUCGUCACGUCGGCUGUGAAAUCCCGAGGCUCAACCUCGGGUCUGCAGUCGAUACGGGCAGGCUAGAGUUCGGUAGGGGAGACUGGAAUUCCUGGUGUAGCGGUGAAAUGCGCAGAUAUCAGGAGGAACACCGGUGGCGAAGGCGGGUCUCUGGGCCGAUACUGACGCUGAGGAGCGAAAGCCGUGGGGAGCGAACAGG